rnacentral:misc_RNA from 1 species
GAUGAAGAACGUAGCGAAAUGCGAUACGUAAUGUGAAUUGCAGAAUUCAGUGAAUCAUCGAAUCUUUGAACGCAUAUUGCGCUCUCUGGUAUUCCGGAGAGCAUGCUUGUUUGAGUAUCAGUAAACACCUCAACUCCCUUUUCUUUUUUGAAAUUGGAGCUGGACUUGAGUGAUCCCAACGCUUUCUUCCAAGAAAGUGGCGGGUUGCUUGAAAUGCAGGUGCAGCUGAACUUUUCUCUGAGCUAUAAGCAUAUCUAUUUAGUCUGCCUAAAAAACAGAUUAUUACCUUUGCUGCAGCUAACAUAAAGGAGACUAGUUCUUGUGCUGACUGAUGCAGGAUUCACAGAGACAGCUUCGGCUGACUUUGUAAACUCGAUCUCAAAUCAAGUAAGACUACCCGCUGAACUUAUGCAUAUCAAUAAGCGGAGGA